CCCUGCGCGUUUUCGGUGUGUGACACGGGCCGCUGGAUACGUGGAGCCACCUGGCUGUAGAUCGGGGUGUCCGUGCUGUUGGGCGCCCGCGUCCCCGGCCCUGUGCCUGCCGGAGCGCCACGCUUCUGCACCACAGCGAUGCUCACAAAUUUGCUUGACCACCUGAGUAGCAACCACCUGAAUGGAUUCACCUGUCUCUCAUCUCCCAGCACUGGGGUUACACAGGGGGCCAAGCCACCCGUCCUGGCUUUGACUGGGUAAAUGAAGACCUGAACUCAGCAAGUGCUUUGCCCACUGAGGUAUUUCUUCAGCGUCGGAAAACUUUUUCUAUUCACUUAGACGUGUGAACGGUCAGCUAUAUGUUUACUCUCCAGCGGGCAGUCUAUUCCGGCUAACGAUUUCAGCUCAUUGCAUCAUGAACACACAUCCAGAAGUCUCACAAGAGAUGCAGCUGAGGGGCUGGGGAGAUGGCUCAGUGGUUGAGAGCACUGACUGCUCUUCCAAAGGUCCUGAGUUCAAUUCCAGCAACCACAUGGUGGCUCACAACCAUCUGUAAUGGGAUCUGGUGUGUCUGAAGACAGCAACAGUGUACUUACUCAUAUAAAUAAAAUAAAUCUUUUUUUUUUUU